rnacentral:rRNA from 1 species
GUGGGUAGUUUGACUGGGGCGGUCUCCUCCUAAAGAGUAACGGAGGAGCACGAAGGUUAGCUAAUCCUGGUCGGACAUCAGGAGGUUAGUGCAAAGGCAUAAGCUAGCUUGACUGCGAGAGUGACGGCUCGAGCAGGUGCGAAAGCAGGUCUUAGUGAUCCGGUGGUUCUGAAUGGAAGGGCCAUCGCUCAACGGAUAAAAGGUACUCCGGGGAUAACAGGCUGAUACCGCCCAAGAGUUCAUAUCGACGGCGGUGUUUGGCACCUCGAUGUCGGCUCAUCACAUCCUGGGGCUGAAGUAGGUCCCAAGGGUAUGGCUGUUCGCCAUUUAAAGUGGUACGCGAGCUGGGUUUAGAACGUCGUGAGACAGUUCGGUCCCUAUCUGCCGUGGGCGCUGGAGAAUUGAGGGGGGCUGCUCCUAGUACGAGAGGACCGGAGUGGACGCAUCACUGGUGUUCGGGUUGUCAUGCCAAUGGCAUUGCCCGGUAGCUAAAUGCGGAAGAGAUAAGUGCUGAAAGCAUCUAAGCACGAAACUUGCCCCGAGAUGAGUUCUCCCUGAGACUUUAAGUCUCCUGAAGGAACGUU